rnacentral:rRNA from 1 species
UACGAAGGGGGGCUAGCGUUGCUCGGAAUCACUGGGCGUAAAGCGCACGUAGGCGGCUUUCUAAGUCAGGGGUGAAAUCCUGGAGCUCAACUCCAGAACUGCCUUUGAUACUGGAGAGCUCGAGUCCGGAAGAGGUGAGUGGAACUCCGAGUGUAGAGGUGAAAUUCGUAGAUAUUCGGAAGAACACCAGUGGCGAAGGCGGCUCACUGGUCCGGUACUGACGCUGAGGUGCGAAAGCGUGGGGAGCAAACAGG